rnacentral:rRNA from 1 species
GAAUUUCAUAGAGAUAUGAGAGGGAGCAUGUGAAUAUUUGACCUAUCAACUGGGGAUGGUAGUAUAGGGGACUACGAUGGUGGUGACGGGUGACGGAGGAUUAGGGUUUGAAACCGGAGAGGGGGCCUGAGAGAUGGCCACCACUUCUAAGGAAGGCAGCAGGCGCGAAAAUUACCCAAUGUUGGAACAGUGAGGUAGUGACAAGGAAUAAUCGGCUUUUCUCCGUAUUGGAGGGAAGAGGGUAAA